GCCAGGUGUGGUGGCUCAUACCUGUAAUUCUAGCACUUUGGGAGGCUGAGGCGGGAGGAUCACUUGAGCCCAGGAGUUUGAGACCAGCCUGGACAACAUAAGGAGAACUUAUCUCUAUAAAACAUAAAAUUAGCUAGGUGUGGCGAUGCAUGCCUAUGGUCCUAGCUACUUUGGGAGGCUCAGGUGGGAGGAUGCUCGAGCCAGGAGGUUAGAAUGCAGUAAGCUGAGAUUGUGCCACUAUACUCCAGCCUGGGCAACACAGUGAGACCCUGUCUCA
rnacentral:sRNA from 1 species